GACGUAGGGGGCAAGCGUUAUUCGGAAUUACUGGGCGUAAAGCGUGCGCAGGCGGUUCUCCAAGUCCGUUGUGAAAGCCCCGGGCUCAACCUGGGAAUGGCAGUGGAAACUAGGGGACUGGAAUCUGGCAGAGGGGGGUGGAAUGCCGCGUGUAGCAGUGAAAUGCGUAGAGAUGCGGCGGAACACCGAUGGCGAAGGCAGCCCCCUGGGCUGAGAUUGACGCUCGGGCACGAAAGCGUGGGGAGCAAACAGG
rnacentral:rRNA from 1 species